GACGAAGGGGGCAAGCGUUGUUCGGAAUUACUGGGCGUAAAGCGCGUGUAGGUGGUUGUCCGAGUCAGGCGUGAAAGCCUCGAGCUCAACUCGAGAACUGCGCUUGAUACUGGGCGGCUAGAGGACCGGAGAGGAUAGUGGAAUUCCCAGUGUAGUGGUGAAAUACGUAGAGAUUGGGAAGAACACCAGUGGCGAAGGCGGCUAUCUGGACGGUUUCUGACACUAAGACGCGAAAGCGUGGGGAGCAAAC
rnacentral:rRNA from 1 species